AUUAGUUGUUUGUACUAUUUAGCUGAAAAAUUAAUUGCACUAAUCAGGUUUAGCAGAGAUUACUUGGUAUGUUUAAUUUUAUAAGGAAGGGGAGGGGGCUAAUUCAAAAACCUGCCUGGUCACGUGAAUAGACCACUGUCUAACGUGCGUCCUACACCUGGCGGGACGAGCACAGGCCUCGGCAGCAGACGGUACCCCCUGACUGGAAGCAACCUAACUCCAAGUGGAAUGAUCCUUGUGGUGUGAGGAUGCUGUGGAAGUGAUUGUGGGCAAGAACCUCAAGCAGGAAUUUUAUGAGAGCAUCGAUCGGCACAAUCCUCGUCUCCUCGAGUUAUUUCGAUCCAAGAGAGGGAAUGUUGGAUAGUUGUUGACACAGAUUUCACAACAGACCAAUACUACAGAGCCAACUGCGAUCCGGACACAGGUGCUCAGAGGACUUCCUAUCAUCCUUGGGGACAACCCCACAAACUUCUUCAAAGCAGGCUUUGAAUCAGAUGAUGAUGAUUCUUUUCGUGACCUCGACGUUGGGAUACUUCUUAUUGAGCGUAAAGGUGCUGUGCUCACAUCUUCCCAGCAUCUCAGUCCAGCCUCGCUGAAAAUCAUCAUUGAGGGAUGGACAACAUUCCAGAUCUGCCAAAAGCAAUGUGCAUUCUGUUUGGACUCACGUAUGCACUCCAUAUUAACUACCACAAGCAUCACGGAC